rnacentral:rRNA from 1 species
GAAUUGACGGGGCCCGCACAAGCGGUGGAGUAUGUGGUUUAAUUCGAAGCAACGCGAAGAACCUUACCAGGUCUUGACAUCCCCUGACAACCCGAGAGAUCGGGCGUUCCCCUUCGGGGGACAGGGUGACAGGUGGUGCAUGGUUGUCGUCAGCUCGUGUCGUGAGAUGUUGGGUUAAGUCCCGCAACGAGCGCAACCCUCGACCUUAGUUGCCAGCAUUCAGUUGGGCACUCUAAGGUGACUGCCGGCUAAAAGUCGGAGGAAGUGGGGAUGACGUCAAAUCAUCAUGCCCCUUAUGACCUGGGCUACACACGUGCUACAAUGGGCGGUACAAAGGGUCGCGAACCCGCGAGGGGGAGCCAAUCCCAAAAAGCCGCUCUCAGUUCGGAUUGCAGGCUGCAACUCGCCUGCAUGAAGCCGGAAUCGCUAGUAAUCGCGGAUCAGCAUGCCGCGGUCGAAUACGUUCCCGGGCCUU